rnacentral:snRNA from 1 species
GUGCUCGCUUUGGCAGCACAUAUACUAUGAUUGGAAUGAUACAGAGAAGAUUAGCAUGGCCCCUGUGUAAGGAUGACAUGCAAAUUUGUGAAGAGUUCCAUAUUUAC